rnacentral:rRNA from 1 species
AACGAACGCUGGCGGCAUGCCUAACACGUGCAAGUCGAACGAGACCUUCGGGUCUAGUGGCGCACGGGUGCGUAACGCGUGGGAACCUGCCCUUAGGUUCGGAAUAACUCCCCGAAAGGGGUGCUAAUACCGGAUAAUGUCUUCGGACCAAAGAUUUAUCGCCUUUGGAUGGGCCCGCGUUGGAUUAGCUAGUUGGUAGGGUAAAAGCCUACCAAGGCGACGAUCCAUAGCUGGUCUGAGAGGAUGAUCAGCCACACUGGGACUGAGACACGGCCCAGACUCCUACGGGAGGCAGCAGUGGGGAAUAUUGGACAAUGGGCGAAAGCCUGAUCCAGCAAUGCCGCGUGAGUGAUGAAGGCCUUAGGGUUGUAAAGCUCUUUUACCCGGGAUGAUAAUGACAGUACCGGGAGAAUAAGCUCCGGCUAACUCCG